rnacentral:rRNA from 1 species
UUUUUAGGCCAGAUAUUCUGAACAAGCCCAAUUCUGUCUGAUCUCGGAAGCUAAGCAGGGUCGGGCCAGGUUAGUACUUGGAUAGGAGACCACCUAGAAACACCAGAUGCUGUAGGCA